UUUUUUUAUCGCGUUUGUUCGAACACUUUUUCAUAUAGUUAUUUAAAUAUAGCUUUAUUAUCACUGAAGCUUGGAAUAUUUUUAUAUGUCCAGAAUUAAUUUAAAAUUAUGCCCUUUCAUAAUAUGUAAAGCAUUCCGGCCUAGCUCCAUUUUUGCGAGGGGUCAUUUUCAAAAUCAUUUGCGUAACGUAAAUAUGGCGGACGUGACGUCAUCAGCCGCCUUCAUCCGGGGACCGAGACCCUGGACCUUCCCACCUCCCAGUGUCUUUCCAUUCCAUCAGUAUUUAGUGUUAUUUCCUAUAUUUUCCAGCUGUUUUCAUGCAUAGAGAAGAAUAGAAAGAGGAGGAAAGAAGGAGAAAUGAAGAAGGAGGAGGAAGAAGAGGGAAGGGAAGGAGGAAGAGGAGAAGGAAAAGAAGAAAUAUUAAGAAAAGAUUUUCACUGAAUUUCCAGCGUUUUAAAGUCUGAUCCUGGACCUGCGCAGCUUGACGGUGGUGGUGCCUCUGUCUCCUGCUCUCCUUGACUAUUAGCCCAAGCAUGACUCCAGCGGCUUGUAUUCCUCUGUGUGGUAAUAAGUCUGUGUGGCUUAUUACCAGCAUAUCACAUCAGCGUCCCUGCAAGGUUCCAUUCUGUCUUGUCUGGUGGCACUGAUCAGCGUGGCAUUCAGCAUAGGCUUCACCGUCGGGCCAGCUGUGGGGGCCGCGUUUUCCCGCUGGGGAAGUACUGGGUGGUUUGCGGCCUCGGUUGUCUACGCACUCACUCUCGCUGUGGCUAACAUAAUAUUCUUUGUUGUCUUCUUCCAGGAAUUGCUGCCUGAGGGCCUAAUGAUGAUGAUUCCUGCUUUCAUCCUCAUCGGGGCUAACGAGACCAACCUGGGGCUGUACUCUGGACUGACGCUGUAUGCCAUAGACAACCUAACCAACCAGCUUAACCUGAGUCGCCCCUGGAACCGCCCCACCACAGAGGAGGAGGAGGAGGAGGAGGAGGAGGAG